rnacentral:rRNA from 1 species
CCCAACCAUAACCCAACAAUCAAAUAACCCAUUGUUCGCCAAAUAACUACGAGUAUAAACUUAAAAUUUAAAAGACUUGACGGUACCUCACAACAACCUAGAGGAGCCUGUCUAAUAACCGAUACCCCACGAUUAAACCCAACCCCCCCUAGCCACAGUCUAUAUACCGCCGUCGCCAGCCUACCUUGUAAAAGAAACAAAGUAAGCCCAAUAGUAACACACUAGCACGACAGGUCGAGGUGUAACUUAUGGGCGGGCUAAGAUGGGCUACAUUUUCUAUUACAGAAAAUACGAAUAGACUAUGAAACAAGAAACUGAAGGCGGAUUUAGCAGUAAACUAAGAAUAAAAUACCUAGUCGAAACCAACGCAAUGAGGUGCGUACACACCGCCCGUCAUCCCUGCCAACCACCACAAACACUACAUAAUAUAAUGUUAAACCAUAAAACAGGGCAAGUCGUAACACGGUAAGCGUACUGGAAAGUGCGCUUAGAAA